UACGUAGGGGGCAAGCGCUGUCCGGAAUCAUUGGGCGUAAAGAGCGCGUAGGCGGCCCAGUAAGUCCGCUCUGAAAGUCAGGGGCUCAACCCCUGAAUGCGGGUGGAUACUGCUGGGCUAGAGUCCGGAAGAGGCGAGUGGAAUUCCUGGUGUAGCGGUGAAAUGCGCAGAUAUCAGGAGGAACACCAAUUGCGAAGGCAGCUCGCUGGGACGUAACUGACGCUGAGACGCGAAAGCGUGGGGAGCAAACAGG
rnacentral:rRNA from 1 species